UCUUAUUGGCCAACAAUUGCAGACUCUGCACUGGGUGGAACAUUGCACCAGCUUGAGGAGAACAAGAAAAAACACCACUGACUCCCCAACCCCCCACUAACCAACAAGAGUGAGCCUGACUGGAGCUGCCUACAGUGUUGUCCUAGUGAGGAACCGCCUGGGAAAAGGGUUCCUCUCUUACCAAGUUUCUGGCUUUGAGUUCUUUCCAUCUUUGUGAUGUUUCACAUACUGUGAGUAACGGAGGAGAAAGAAGAGAUGAACUCAGUGAUAACAGUCUCAUGGUGUGGAGCUCAGGAGAUAGCUUGGUGGGUAAAACCUUGCAAACAUGAAAACCUGAGUUAAAUCCCCAGAAUCCAUGUAAAACAAAACAAAACUAUUGGCUUGGCAAGAUACACCCAUGGGCGCAAACAUGACAUUUCUGUAAAGCGGGUUCCUGCUCUGACUUCCUUCACAAUGGACUGUGAUUGGGACAGGCAGAAGAUGGACAAGAGGAAGCAGAGCCUGUGGGAACACCUUGCACACCUUCUCUGUGGGCCUUAGUAACAGCUGUAGAAAUAUAGUCUCCAGACCUCAGCUUCCUUAAAGAAUGGAGCAAUGUUACUCCUGAGACUUGAUGUGAAUACCGUGUGUGUGUGUGUGUGUGUGUGUGUGUGUGUGUGUGUGUGUGUGUGUUAUCUGUGCCCCCAAGCCAUCACCAGCCUCACAGAAGGCUGAUUGGCUUCUACUUUGGCAUUUGGAGGGCUCAGGACAGGACAUGGAAGGGAUGGAGCAGUGCCUUAGGGGACAAAGAGCGAGGGUACACAGCAGACACAAGAUUCUGAAGGUCAUUGUGCUUUAUCCAUUGAAAUAUUCAUGCCCAAGCUGGAUUCACCCUGUAAAGAUAAGUCUUAUUUGUGGAACACCCAUUUUAGGGCUGUAGUGGCAAAGCCCUGGCAUUAUCAGGAGUGGUGGGAGGCACAGGUGUACAUUAUGAAGCCCAAUAUAUAGGUGACCUGCAGCGUCAGAUCCGGGGGAAGAAACACAGAAUGGUUUUUGCCUUUUAGGCAAUCUAUUCAGAUCUUUCCUUAAGCUGUGAAAUAUAUAUCCUUCCUAACAGGCUUUUCCCCUGCUGGUGAGAGUAGCCCAUCCACUUUGGAGAGGCCCUCAUUUCUAAACAAAACCGCUAAAGGACCUUAAUUGAGAUCAUUUCAAUAUGUUAAUACAUCGAUUCCUUUCUCCAGUGCAUCCGAGCUUGGGCCUGAAGCGCGCCUCGCCACUCUGCAUGCACCAGCUCUCCACACCCGAGGCUUAUCACAAGCAAUUAUCUUACCCAAAUAAAAAAUGAAAAUGGAAAAGUUAAAUAAAUAGCAGGACACCUUGAUGGAA